ACGACUCCCCUUUUGUGUUUUUCCGGUGAAGAGUGUGGGGAUUUUCGUCUUGGCUUCAAAUCCGUCGAAGCAGCACAACAGGUCAAAAGCCCUAGAAGUGAUUAGACCCAAAUUUGGGACCAACUGAAGGCAGCCUAUACCCCAGGGACCACCGCAGUACCCCACGGGUUCCGAGUUGGAGACAAAGUCUUGGUCAGACGGCAUUGAACCGGCAGCCUCGAACCAUGGUGGAAGGGACCCUAUUUGGUGUUACUGACAACCCCUACUGCGGUAAAAGUUGACGGGAUUGCCUCCUGGAUCCACGCCUCCCACGUCAAGAGGGCCGCCAGUCAAGAUGAAGAAAACCACGAAGACAAUUGGACAGUGGCAGCCACUAACAAUCCUCUUAAGCUUCGUUUGCGCCUCAGGCGCCACCCUGAGCCUAGGGAACCAUAACCCUCAUGCUCCAAUUCAACAGUCUUGGGAAGUGCUUAAUGAGGAGGGAAACAUUGUGUGGGCAACCACUGCAGUCCAUCCCCUCUGGACUUGGUGGCCUGAUCUCACACCUGACAUCUGUAAGUUAGCGGCAGGAUCCCCCAAUUGGGACCUCCCCGAUCAUACCGAUCUUAGUAACCCACCCCCUGAAGAGCGGUGUGUCCCAAACGGGAUAGGGAGCACAUAUGGGUGUUCGGGGCAGUUUUACUGAGCUAAUCUUAGAGCUGCACAAUUUUAUGUUUGCCCUGGUCAGGGUCAGAGCAAAAGGCUUCAACGAGAAUGUGGAGGGGCAUCAGAUUACUUUUGUGGUAAAUGGUCAUGUGAAACGACAGGGGAAGCUUACUGGAAGCCCUCCUCUGACUGGGACCUAAUCACGGUAAAACGAGGAAGUGGCUAUGAUAAGUCAAACCAAGGAGAAAGAAACCCCUAUAAAUAUCCAGAGAAUGGGUGCGCUUUUAAAAACAGCCCCCCAGGACCAUGCAAAGGUAAAUACUGCAACCCCCUACUUAUAAAGUUCACCGAGAAAGGGAAACAACACCGUCUAAGUUGGCUUAAAGGAAAUAGGUGGGGUUGGCGAGUAUACAUUCCACUAAGAGAUCCUGGGUUCAUUUUCACGAUCAGGCUGACAGUGAGGGACCCGGCGGUGACACUCGUUGGGCCCAACAAGGUCCUUAUAGAACAGGGCCCCCAGUCGUACCGGCUCCCCCAAAGGUCCCAGCCGUACCAGCUCCACCAACUCCACAGCCCAACACAGUGGUACCCUCCCUAGGGACUAAUAUUCCCCUCAUAAAGCCUACCUUGGCUUCCCCACCGCCCCUAGGUACAGAGAACCGUCUGGUCAGUCUAGUCCAGGGAGCUUUUUUAGCUUUAAAUAGAACUAACCCUAAUAUGACUCAAUCAUGCUGGUUAUGCUAUACCUCUAGCCCCCCUUAUUAUGAAGGAAUAGCUCAGAUCAGGACUUAUAAUAUUACUUCAGAUCAUUCUCAAUGUCUUUGGGGAGAAAACAGAAAGUUGACUCUAGCAGCAGUUUCAGGAAGAGGGCUUUGUUUGGGCCAGGUACCUCAGGAUAAAGGGCACCUCUGUAAUCAGACCCAGAACAUCCAGUCUAGCAAAAGUGGUCAGUAUCUAGUACCCCCCUUAGACACAGUAUGGGCUUGCAAUACCGGUCUCACUCCUUGUGUGUCUAUGUCUGUUUUUAAUAGUUCCAAAGAUUUCUGCAUUUUGGUUCAGCUUAUUCCUAGACUCCUGUAUCAUGAUGAUAGCUCCUUUUUAGACAAAUUUGAGCAUCGGGUCCGCUGGAGAAGAGAGCCCGUUACCUUAACUUUGGCAGUUCUAUUAGGAUUAGGAGUAGCAGCUGGAGUAGGUACAGGAACCGCUGCCUUAAUUAAGACCCCCCAAUAUUAUGAAGAACUACGUGCAGCUAUGGAUGUUGAUCUUAGAACUAUAGAACAGUCUAUAACCAAAUUAGAAGAAUCUUUAACUUCCCUGUCCAAAGUGGUGCUACAGAAUAGAAGGGGAUUAGACUUAUUAUUCCUUAAAGAAGGAGGACUCUGUGCUGCCCUAAAAGAAGAAUGUUGUUUUUAUGUUGACCAUUCAGGAGUAAUCAAAGAUUCUAUGGCCAAACUUAGAGAACGCCUAGAUAUACGUAAAAGAGAAAGAGAAAGCCAACAAGGAUGGUUCGAAAGCUGGUUUAAUAAGUCCCCUUGGCUCACCACUCUCCUCUCCACCAUAGCAGGACCUUUGAUUACUCUUAUGCUUUUGCUUACUUUUGGCCCCUGCAUCCUUAAUAAGUUAGUAGCUUUUAUUAGAGAAAGGAUAAAUGCAGUACAGGUUAUGGUACUAAGGCAACAAUAUCGGGUCCUUCAGGAGGUUGAAAACUCGCUCUAAGAUUAGAGCUAUUUCCUAAAAGGAGUGGGGAAUGAAGAAUAAAAAAUUACUGAACUCUUCCUCACCCCAGAGCCCGACCCCUCCCAUCUAGAGAGUGUUCCCAGGACACUCUUGAACUCUUCACCCCAGAAUGCAUUCCUGAACUCCUCACCCUAGAGUUCGAACCCUCCCAACUAAAGACUGUUCCAAGAACAUUUUUGAGAUAAGGGCCUCCUGGAACAACCUCAGAAUGAACCGGGUACAUUGCCAAAUAAUAGGACAUGACCCCUUAGUUACGUAGAAUCCCUUGGCAGAACCCCUUGUCCCUUGGCAGAACCCCUUAGUUAUGUAAACUUGUACUUUCCCUACCCCGCUCUCCCCCCUUGAGUUUUCCUAUAUAAGCUUGUGAAAAAUUUGGCUGGUCGUCGAUUCUCCUCUACACCACUAGGUGUAUGAGUUUCGACCCCAGAGCUCUGGUCUAUGUGCUUUCAUGCUUUCAUGCUGCUGCUUUAUUAAAUCUUGCCUUCAACAUUUUG
rnacentral:lncRNA from 1 species